UACGAAGGGUGCAAGCGUUACUCGGAAUUACUGGGCGUAAAGCGUGCGUAGGUGGUUUGUUAAGUCUGAUGUGAAAGCCCUGGGCUCAACCUGGGAAUGGCAUUGGAUACUGGCAGUCUAGAGUGUGUCAGAGGAUGGUGGAAUUCCCGGUGUAGCGGUGAAAUGCGUAGAGAUCGGGAGGAACAUCAGUGGCGAAGGCGGCUCACUGGACCAUAACUGACGCUGAGGCGCGAAAGCUAGGGGAGCAAACAGG
rnacentral:rRNA from 1 species